GCUAGACGAGGUGGCACCUGCCUGUAGUCCUAAAAUAUUCCAGUGGCUGAGAUGGGAGUCACUUGAGCCCAGGAAUUCUGAGCUGUAGUACUAUACCAAUUGAUCAAAUGGGUGUCUACAUUAAGUUUGACACCAACAUGGUGACCUUUCAGGAGCAGGGGACCACAUUGUCUAAGGAAGGGUGAACUGGCCCAGGUCAGAAAUGGAACAGGUCAAACUCCUGUGCUGAUCAGUAGUGGGAUCACUUUGUGAAUAGCCACUCUACUCCAGCAUGGACAACACAAGGAGAUCCUGUCUUU
ensembl:misc_RNA Metazoa_SRP Metazoan signal recognition particle RNA